UACGUAGGGACCAAGCGUUGUCCGGAAUCAUUGGGCGUAAAGAGCGUGUAGGCGGCUUGUUAAGUCUUGCGUGAAAUCUCGGGGCUCAACCCCGAGCGGUCGUGAGAAACUGGCAGGCUGGAGUGCGGGAGAGGAGAGUGGAAUUCCUGGUGUAGCGGUGAAAUGCGCAGAUAUCAGGAAGAACACCCGUGGCGAAGGCGGCUCUCUGGAACGCAACUGACGCUGAGACGCGAAAGCGUGGGGAGCGAUCCGG
rnacentral:rRNA from 1 species